AUACGAAGGGGGCUAGCGUUGUUCGGAAUCACUGGGCGUAAAGCGCGCGUAGGUGGAUCAAUUAGUUGAGGGUGAAAUCCCGGGGCUCAACCUCGGAACUGCCUUCAAUACUGUUGAUCUUGAGACCGAGAGAGGUGAGUGGAAUUCCUAGUGUAGAGGUGAAAUUCGUAGAUAUUAGGAAGAACACCAGAGGCGAAGGCGGCUCACUGGCUCGGUACUGACGCUGAGGUGCGAAAGCGUGGGGAGCAAACAGGAUUAGAUACCCUAGUAGUCC
rnacentral:rRNA from 1 species